rnacentral:piRNA from 1 species
CCCAUGCCGGUUGGUUUUAACCAUAACUGGG